rnacentral:rRNA from 1 species
ACAGCAGUAGCCACGGUAAUACGGAGGGAGCUAGCGUUGUUCGGAAUCACUGGGCGUAAAGCGCACGUAGGCGGCUAUUCAAGUCAGGGGUGAAAGCCCGGGGCUCAACCCCGGAACUGCCUUUGAAACUAGAUAGCUUGAAUCUUGGAGAGGCGAGUGGAAUUCCGAGUGUAGAGGUGAAAUUCGUAGAUAUUCGGAAGAACACCAGUGGCGAAGGCGACUCGCUGGACAAGUAUUGACGCUGAGGUGCGAAAGCGUGGGGAGCAAACAGGAUUAGAUACCCGAGUAGUCCCUGUCUCUUAUAA